rnacentral:rRNA from 2 species
GUAUGACUCUCGGCAAUGGAUAUCUUGGCUCUUGCAUCGAUGAAGAGCGCAGCGAAAUGCGAUACGUGGUGUGAAUUGCAGAAUCCCGUGAACCAUCGAGUUUUUGAACGCAAGUUGCGCCCGAGGCCAAUUGGUUGAGGGCACGUCCGCCUGGGCGUCAAGC